GACGAACGCUGGCGGCGUGCUUAACACAUGCAAGUCGAGCGAGCGGCGGACGGGUGAGUAAUGUAUGGGGACUGCCCGAUAGAGGGGGAUAACUACUGGAAACGGUGGCUAAUACCGCAUACUAUCGGAUAACCCAUAUGGGAUUAACUAGAAGGUAAGGUAAUGGCUUACCUAGGCGACGAUCCCUAACUGGUCUGAGAGGACGAUCGGCCACACUGGGACUGAGACACGGCCCAGACACCUACGGAGGCAGCAGUGGGGAAUAUUGCGCAAUGAGCGCAAGCCUGAUGCAGCCAUGCCGCGUGUAUGAGGAAGGCCCUAGGGUUGUAAAGUACUUUCAGUCGGGAGGCGUUACCGACAGAAAAAGCACCGGCUAACUCCGUGCCAGCCGCCGCGGUAAUUC
rnacentral:rRNA from 1 species